rnacentral:rRNA from 1 species
CCCAUGAAGGUGGAGUCGCUAGUAAUCGCGGAUCAGCAACGCCGCGGUGAAUACGUUCCCGGGCCUUGUACACACCGCCCGUCACGUCAUGAAAGUCGGCAACACCCGAAACUUGCGGCCUAACCCCGUUCGGGAGGGAGUGAGUGAAGGUGGGGCUGGCGAUUGGGACGAAGUCGUAACAAGGUAGCCGUACCGGAAGGUGCGGCUGGAUCACCUCCUUU